UACAGAGGGGGCAAGCGUUGUUCGGAAUUACUGGGCGUAAAGGGCGCGUAGGCGGCCCGCUAAGUCGAACGUGAAAGCCCCGGGCUCAACCUGGGAAUUGCAUUCGAGACUGAAUAGCUAGGGUGCGGUAGAGGGAAGCGGAAUUUCCGGUGUAGCGGUGAAAUGCGUAGAUAUCGGAAGGAACAUCAGUGGCGAAAGCGGCUUCCUGGACCAGCACCGACGUUCAGGCACGAAAGCGUGGGGAGCAAACAGG
rnacentral:rRNA from 1 species